GGAAUUUUGCGCAAUGGGGGAAACCCUGACGCAGCAACGCCGCGUGAGUGAUGAAGGCUUUCGGGUCGUAAAGCUCUGUCAAGUGGGAAGAAUAUGCCCUGUGAUAAUACCAUGGGGCACUGACGGUACCACUGAAGGAAGCACCGGCUAACUCCGUGCCAGCAGCCGCGGUAAUACGGGGGGUGCAAGCGUUAUUCGGAAUCAUUGGGCGUAAAGGGCGCGUAGGCGGCCCCUUAAGUCAGAUGUGAAAGCCCUCAGCUUAACUGAGGAAGUGCAUUUGAAACUAAGGGGCUUGAGUAUGGGAGAGGGAAGCGGAAUUCCUGGUGUAGCGGUGAAAUGCGUAGAUAUCAGGAGGAACACCGGUGGCGAAGGCGGCUUCCUGGACCAAUACUGACGCUGAGGCGCGAAGGCGUGGGGAGCAAACAGGAUUAGA
rnacentral:rRNA from 1 species